rnacentral:rRNA from 1 species
CCCUUAGAUGUUCUGGGCCGCACGCGCGCUACACUGAAUGGAUCAACGUGUUUUCCCUUCCCGAGAGGGACGGGUAACCCGCUGAACCCCAUUCGUGGUAGGGAUCGGAGCUUGCAAUUGUUCUCCGUGAACGAGGAAUUCCCAGUAAGCGCGAGUCAUCAUCUCGCGUUGAUUACGUCCCUGCCCUUUGUACACACCGCCCGUCGCUACUACCGAUUGAAUGGUUUAGUGAGAUCCUCGGAUUGGCCAUCUCGGCGUGACUUCGGUUGUGCACGUGGUGGCCGAGAAGACGAUCAAACUUGAUCAUUUAGAGGAAGUAAAAGUCGUAACA